GCCAGCAUGGUGUAGUGGUUUGAGCACUGGACUAUGACUUCAGAGAGCAGGGUUUAAAUCCCAGUCAGACA